rnacentral:misc_RNA from 1 species
AACGCACAUUGCGCCUCCCGUGAGGGGGGCAUGCCCGUCCGAGCGUCGUUUGAACCCAUGGGCGUUCUCUCUCCGAGCGCGACCCGUCUUGGGCCUCGCCCCGUGGCGUGGCCCCAAAGGCAUUCGGUCUGGAAGUGGACGAGUCCCUCUAGGGCGGACCACUGACGGACUAUGGAAUCGAAUUUCGACCUCGGAUCGGGUAGGGACACCGCCUGAACUUAA